CGGCUCUCCGUCACGCUUCUGUCCUCCCCGUCACCUCCUGGCACCCCUCUCUCAGCCUCUUUCCUCUUCUCUCUUUCGCUCGCUGUUGUUAUGCAUCUAUCUGUCCAUCUGUUUGUUCAGCUUCUCGCAAUCUGAUGUUUAGAGAUCGCAAAGAACGCGAGCCAGCAGCCUCAUAAUUGGUCCUCGUUUUGACAAAUACCAACAACAGACUCCAAAGAAACCGGCGAUGGAGAUCUCAGAAUUAUCUGCCGCCUUCCCAGCGAGAACCCUCAGCGAGCGGUUGUCAUGGAAAUGCUUCCACUAACCACGGCCCAUACCAACCGACCAUGUCCCUCACAAUUGCCAUAACAAACACAAUAAAGAAGAGAGAGAAGAAUGGGGGAAUGCAAAAAAGAGAAGAAAACAUAUAUGUAUUAAACGGUGUGAUAACCAGACUGCCAAGAAAAGAUUGAAAUGAACCAUUUCUAUCUUUAGGACAUGGGCUAAGGAUGCAGGAAAGGGUCAAAAGAGUAGAUUAAUGUGGCCUGUGUUCACAGUCUUGUCUACAAUAACAAAUCUGAACCAUAUUUUAAAAAGAACACUGAUCCCUGAUGUUUCACCACCUGCCCUGUUGGAUCUUUAUAUGAGCAGUUUGCGAGACAUACUGUAUGAAACUUUCUGAGCAUAUUUAAAACAAUUUAAAACAAUUUACACUGAGAAGAGAUAAGAUGAAA